UCUUAGCUUUCGUUACGCAGAAGUAGGAACAUUCAAAAUUUAUAUAUUAUUUGGAAGGCUAAAAAUAAGUAGCAAAAGAGAUGGCUAGACUCCAAUCUUAUCUAACGGUGCAUACAAAAUUUCAGCUGCAUCAUACCCUGUGCACCAUACAUUCAACUUCUUUUUUUUAACUAUACAUUCAACUAUUUUGAAAUA